rnacentral:rRNA from 1 species
CCUACGGGAGGCAGCAGUGAGGAAUAUUGGUCAAUGGGCGGAAGCCUGAACCAGCCAAGUAGCGUGCAGGAUGACGGUCCUACGGGUUGUACACUGCUUUUAUACGGGAAUAACGCGCCUUACGUGUAGGGCUUUGCAUGUACCGUAUGAAUCAGGACCGGCUAAUUCCGUGCCAGCAGCCGCGGUAAUACGGAAGGUCCGGGCGUUAUCCGGAUUUAUUGGGUUUAAAGGGUGCGCAGGCGGAGGUGCAAGUCAGCGGUAAAAUUGCGGGGCUCAACCCCGUACUGCCGUUGAACCUGCAUCGCUUGAGUGCGCGAGAAGUAUGCGGAAUGCGGGGUGUAGCGGUGAAAUGCAUAGAUAUCACGCAGAACUCGGAUUGCGAAGGCAGCAUACCGGCGCGCAACUGACGCUCAUGCACGAAAGCGUGGGUAUCGAACAGGAUUAGAUACCCGUAGUC